rnacentral:misc_RNA from 1 species
GAUGAAGAACGUAGCGAAAUGCGAUACUUGGUGUGAAUUGCAGAAUUCAGUGAAUCAUCGAGUCUUUGAACGCACAUUGCGCCCCCUGGUAUUCCGGGGGGCAUGCCUGUCCGAGCGUCAUUGCUGCCCUCAAGCACGGCUUGUGUGUUGGGCCUCCGCCCCCCGGCUCCCGGGGGGCGGGCCCGAAAGGCAGCGGCGGCACCGCGUCCGGUCCUCGAGCGUAUGGGGCUUCGUCACCCGCUCCGUAGGCCCGGCCGGCGCCCGCCGGCGACCCCCCUCAAUCUUUCCAGGUUGACCUCGGAUCAGGUAGUGAUACCCGCUGAACUUAAGCAUAUCAAUAAGCGGAGGA